rnacentral:rRNA from 1 species
UAAAAAUUUAAUUUAUAAUAUUAAAGUAGUAUUAGUUAAGUUCUUGAAAUUUAAAAAAUUUGGCGGUAUUUUAGUCUAUUCAGAGGAACCUGUUUUGUAAUUGAUAAUCCACGAUGAAUCUUACUUAAAUUUGUUUAUAUAGUUUAUAUAUCGUCGUUUAUUGAAUAUUUUAUAAGAAUAAUAAUUUUCUUAAAUUUAAAUUUGAAAAUAUAUCAGAUCAAGAUGUAGCUUAUGUUUAAGCUUAUAAUGGGUUACAUUUAUUUUAUUAAUGGAAGUAAGAUUGAAAUUAAUUUACUGAAAUUGGAUUUGAUAGUAAAUUAAUAUAGAUUGAUUAAUUGAUUUUAGCUCUAUAAUAUG